rnacentral:rRNA from 1 species
GCUUGCUAGAAGAUGGCGACCGGCGCACGGGUGAGUAACGCGUAUGCAACCUACCUUAUACUGGGGGAUAGCCCAGAGAAAUCUGGAUUAAUACCGCAUAACAAUGUUUUAUCGCAUGGUAAAAUAUUUAAAACUCCGGUGGUAUAAGAUGGGCAUGCGUAGCAUUAGUUAGUUGGUGAGGUAAUGGCUUACCAAGACAAUGAUGCUUAGGGGGUCUGAGAGGAUAGUCCCCCACACUGGUACUGAGACACGGACCAGACUCCUACGGGAGGCAGCAGUGAGGAAUAUUGGUCAAUGGGCGCAAGCCUGAACCAGCCAUGUCGCGUGCAGGAUGACGGCCCUAUGGGUUGUAAACUGCUUUUUUACAGGAAUAAUUGUCGCUACGUGUAGUGAUUUGAAUGUACUGUAUGAAUAAGGAUCGGCUAACUCCGUGCCAGCAGCCGCGGUAAUACGGAGGAUUCGAGCGUUAUCCGGAUUUAUUGGGUUUAAAGGGUCCGUAGGCGGUUCUUUAAGUCAGUGGUGAAAUCCCAGAGCUCAACUCUGGAACUGCCAUUGAAACUG